GACGAACGCUGGCGGCGUGCCUAAUACAUGCAAGUCGAACGAGAGCGACCGGUGCUUGCACUGGUCAAUCUAGUGGCGAACGGGUGAGUAACACGUGGGUAACCUGCCCAUCAGAGGGGGAUAACAUCCGGAAACGGAUGCUAAAACCGCAUAGGUCCUUUAACCGCAUGGUUGAAGGAGGAAAAGAGGCGCAAGCUUCUGCUGAUGGAUGGACCCGCGGUGCAUUAGCUAGUUGGUGAGGUAACGGCUCACCAAGGCCGUGAUGCAUAGCCGACCUGAGAGGGUGAUCGGCCACAUUGGGACUGAGACACGGCCCAAACUCCUACGGGAGGCAGCAGUAGGGAAUCUUCCGCAAUGGACGCAAGUCUGACGGAGCAACGCCGCGUGAGUGAAGAAGGUUCUCGGAUCGUAAAACUCUGUUGUUAGAGAAGAACAAGUGCUAGAGUAAACUGUAGCGCCUUGACGGAUUU
rnacentral:rRNA from 1 species